rnacentral:rRNA from 1 species
GGCAGGCCUAACACAUGCAAGUCGAGCGGUAACAGAAAGUAGCUUGCUACUUUGCUGACGAGCGGCGGACGGGUGAGUAAUGCUUGGGAACAUGCCUUGAGGUGGGGGACAACAGUUGGAAACGACUGCUAAUACCGCAUAAUGUCUACGGACCAAAGGGGGCUUCGGCUCUCGCCUUUAGAUUGGCCCAAGUGGGAUUAGCUAGUUGGUGAGGUAAUGGCUCACCAAGGCGACGAUCCCUAGCUGGUUUGAGAGGAUGAUCAGCCACACUGGGACUGAGACACGGCCCAGACUCCUACGGGAGGCAGCAGUGGGGAAUAUUGCACAAUGGGCGCAAGCCUGAUGCAGCCAUGCCGCGUGUGUGAAGAAGGCCUUCGGGUUGUAAAGCACUUUCAGUCAGGAGGAAAGCGUGGUGGUUAAUACCCAUCAUGUGUGACGUUACUGACAGAAGAAGCACCGGCUAACUCCGUGCCAGCAGCCGCGGUAAUACGGAGGGUGCGAGCGUUAAUCGGAAUUACUGGGCGUAAAGCGUACGCAGGCGGUUUGUUAAGCGAGAUGUGAAAGCCCCGGGCUCAACCUGGGAACUGCAUUUCGAACUGGCAAACUAGAGUGUGAUAGAGGGUGGUAGAAUUUCAGGUGUAGCGGUGAAAUGCGUAGAGAUCUGAAGGAAUACCGAUGGCGAAGGCAGCCACCUGGGUCAACACUGACGCUCAUGUACGAAAGCGUGGGGAGCAAACGGGAUUAGAUACCCCGGUAGUCCACGCCGUAAACGAUGUCUACUAGAAGCUCGGAGCCUCGGUUCUGUUUUUCAAAGCUAACGCAUUAAGUAGACCGCCUGGGGAGUACGGCCGCAAGGUUAAAACUCAAAUGAAUUGACGGGGGCCCGCACAAGCGGUGGAGCAUGUGGUUUAAUUCGAUGCAACGCGAAGAACCUUACCUACACUUGACAUACAGAGAACUUACCAGAGAUGGUUUGGUGCCUUCGGGAACUCUGAUACAGGUGCUGCAUGGCUGUCGUCAGCUCGUGUUGUGAGAUGUUGGGUUAAGUCCCGCAACGAGCGCAACCCCUAUCCUUAGUUGCUAGCAGGUAAUGCUGAGAACUCUAAGGARACUGCCGGUGAUAAACCGGAGGAAGGUGGGGACGACGUC